rnacentral:rRNA from 1 species
CCUACGGGAGGCAGCAGUCGAGAAUCAUUCACAAUGGGGGAAACCCUGAUGGUGCGACGCCGCGUGGGGGAAUGAAGGUCUUCGGAUUGUAAACCCCUGUCAUGUGGGAGCAAAUUAAAAAGAUAGUACCACAAGAGGAAGAGACGCCUAACUCUGUGCCAGCAGCCGCGGUAAUACAGAGGUCUCAAGCGUUGUUCGGAAUCACUGGGCGUAAAGCGUGCGUAGGCUGUUUCGUAAGUCGUGUGUGAAAGGCGCGGGCUCAACCCGCGGACGGCACAUGAUACUGCGAGACUAGAGUAAGGGAGGGGGAACCGGAAUUCUCGGUGUAGCAGUGAAAUGCGUAGAUAUCGAGAGGAACACUCGUGGCGAAGGCGGGUUCCUGGACAUUAACUGACGCUGAGGCACGAAGGCCAGGGGAGCGAAAGGGAUUAGAUACCCUUGUAGUC